UGGAAGCUUUGGCGGUUCAUGUCUUUGGUACAUCACUACAACAGGAACUCGUUGUAUGCCAUCUCUCCGCUUCUGAAUUUCAACCAUGGAAGAAGAUUUCGAGUUCGGUGACAAAGUCCCGCCGGUCGUCAACCGCAUGGGGAACGUGAUUGGAGAUGCGGAUGGAAGAGGAUUCAAUCCAUGACUGAUUGUGCUGCUCGUAGUUGGCGGGCUGCUCUUGGCUUUUCUUGUUGUGAAUUAUGCUCUCUACAUGUAUGCGCAGAAGACCCUCCCACCAAAGAAAGGAAGAAACCAGUUUCCAAGAAGAAGAUGAAAAGGGAGAGAUUAAAGCAAGGUAUCUCUGCACCUGGCGUGUAGUAGUUAGUGCUAGACUUUUCUCUUAUGUGCUAUAUUCCUGUGCCUCACUUGGGGGAACUAACAAGUUCUUCCAUUUCAGUGAUUGAAGAGUAGUUUUGUUUAUGUUGUUAAGUUGUUCAGAAUCUGAACAUUAUAACCGGAAGUUCAUAGUCCCUUGUAUCCUUAGAGAUGAGAAAUGAUAGUAAGAGAGUAGUUUAUAUGGUAUAUUUUGAUCCAA